UACGUAGGUGACCAGCGUUGUCCGGAUUUACUGGGCGUAAAGAGCGCGCAGGCGGUCGUUCAAGUCGAGUGUGAAAGCCCCCGGCUCAACUGGGGAGGGUCACUCGAUACUGAUCGACUUGAAGGCAGGAGAGGGAAGCGGAAUUCCCGGUGUAGUGGUGAAAUGCGCAGAUAUCAGGAGGAACACCGGUGGCGAAGGCGGCAUCCUGGACCGAUACUGACGCUGAGGAGCGAAAGCCAGGGGAGCAAACGGG
rnacentral:rRNA from 1 species